rnacentral:misc_RNA from 1 species
AAUAUUAAUGAGGUGAAAAGUUAAUCUAGUCUCUUUUAAGUAUCCAAACAAUAUUAAUGAGGGGUCAAAAGUUAUAAGGGUAAUAAUUACCCCUUAUUAACCUUGUACCAAAUGUCUCCUUGCACUUUUUCCCCACAAUUCCAUUUCCUACAAUUUUGAAAAAUGCUGUUUCCCCAUGUCCAUUUCUCCAUAUCAUUAUUUUCGUUUCCAUGCUACAUAGAUCACCACCAACGUGACCACCCAUACUACAGGCGGCAGUGCUAUACCUUUUGCUUAGUGUAUACAUUAUGACAUCAAUCAUAUAUUCAUAUUGCUUUCACAGUUCACUAUCAUUGCAGCAAAAACCAUUGCUUAGUCAUUGGGGAAACAUAAAUGUUUUACUAUUCCGCUUUUUUUCUGAACUUUAAUCCAAGUCCAUGUUGAGGCAAGAGGGAGCAUAACCGUAGUCUUAUUUUACUGUUAACUAAUUUGCUUAAUCAAAGGGAUGAAAUGGAAGUUGGAAGUGGAACCUUGCAAGAGCACUUUCUAUGACUUAGUUUUUAAGCUUAUGGAUGAAUAUGUCUGCUAUUAAUAUUUUUGUUAAUGCUUGCUCAUUGUGCUUUAUUAUACUUGGGCUUGUGUGCUUUGCUUGCUUAAUAUUUCAGGUUUCAACUGUAAAGCCUCCGCUACUUGUUUGGCUAUUUUCUAAAUUUGUAUUGUGCUUCUUCAGGUCUGAGUUCAUAUUUAUUAAUCCAAACUCUAAAGGCCAAUGUGGUUGUGGUGAAUCUUUCAUGACAACAACUACUGCUGGAGCUGCUAAGCAAGGUAGCAGCAGAUAAAGACUUGUGAUGGGUCAGGAUAUUAUACUAACCCAUUGUUUCAUGUUCUCACUAUGCACUGAUGGUAUAUAGCAAAACACUUAUGUGAGACCACACCUGGUUUCAUCAGCAGAUGGUGCUAUUACGGGCUUUCAAAUUUAUAUCCUAUACUAAAUAUAAAGCUGAUUAUAUCGUCAUUCACGUUGCGUCACUGUGACAUAAAUCACCCAUUUAAAUUACUUUCCCGGAAUGUUUGUAAUCGGAAACAUCCAUGUACUGUUAAUAUGUAGAAAUAAUAAAAUGGAUUUUUUUUGGUAAGUCUCUGUAUUUAGUUGAGCAACAAAUUUGCUCCUCGGAUAAAUCAAUCUGAUUUGCUUUGCUUUAGUUAUAUGUUAGAGAAUUCUAUAAAUUGUGGUUGGAUAUAUUGCUGUAAAUGGAGAUGCAGGGAUAUUGUUCAUGCCAAGUUAGGAUGCUUUUUAAAGUAUUGUUGUAUUGGAAUCAACAUGUGGCAUGGUUGAAAGGUGGUUCAGGGAAUGUUAUUGACUAAUUUUUCCCCGCUGAUCAAAUACCCCAAAGAGGCCGAUGCUUAGACCUUAUUAGAACAGCUUGGAUUUGUUAUUGA